rnacentral:sRNA from 1 species
GCCAAGGCAUGGUGGCGCAUGCCUGUGAUCCCAGCAGCUCAGGAGGCUGAGGCAGGAGGACAGCAGGUUCAAAGCCAACCUCAGCAACAGUGAAGUGCUAAGCAGCUCAGUGAGACCCUGUCUCUA